CCCUUAGAUGUUCUGGGCCGCACGCGCGCUACACUGACGAAUGCAACGAGCUUAUAACCUUGGCCGAAAGGUCUGGGUAAUCUCCAAAUUUCGUCGUGAUGGGGAUAGAUUAUUGCAAUUAUUAAUCUUCAACGAGGAAUGCCUAGUAAGCGCAAGUCAUCAGCUUGCGUUGAUUACGUCCCUGCCCUUUGUACACACCGCCCGCCGCUCCUACCGAUUGAAUGGUCCGGUGAAGCGUUCGGACCGUGGCCUUUGGACGGUUCGCCGUCUGUUGGCUGCGGGAAGUUCGUUAAACCUUAUCAUUUAGAGGAAGGAGAAGUCGUAACA
rnacentral:rRNA from 1 species